rnacentral:tRNA from 1 species
ACUAUUUUGGCAGAAAAUUGUGAUGGUUUUAGAAAUCAUUAAUAUAUAAUAAAUUUAUUAUAUAGAUAGUA